UUAAUGUUUAAUAAUUUUAUCAAAAAUAUUUAUGACUUUCCUCUAAGUACCACCAAGAGGGCUCUCGCGUACCACUGGUGGUACACGUACCACAGUUUGAGAAUAUAGGCUCUACACCAUUUAAUGUGAAGAUUUACUUACUAUUUU